AGUUACUUUAAUCUGAGCAGUCUCAGUAAAAUGGAGGGGCGGGUUGAAGAAGAUGAAGAGAGUUGGAGUUGAGAAAACAUGCAUGGCUAGUAAUGUGAGUUGUUCCAGAAACUUUGAGGAGAAAGGGAGCAGAGAUAUAGGACUGUAGUUAGAUGGGGAAGACUAGUUAAGAGAUGGCUUUUUUUAGGAUAGGUAACAUGCUUAAGG